rnacentral:misc_RNA from 1 species
GUAAAACUAUCAGUUGAAGAAGCAAAGAUGAUAGUUAACAAGACGGUUCUUUGGUUCAUAUUCUUUAUACUGGUGUUUGUUGGAACCUGUUCCUGCUCCUGGGGGGAUAAUUCUCCUGAAUUCAGGAGUUGUACUGAAGCUUGCACGCGGAGUAAUUGUUCCCAUCCCAGUGACCUGGAGAAAUGGAGUUCAGCUCAAUCUUUUCCUGAAAAAUUCAUUGGUUGGUCUUGUUCAGAUGACUGUGUUUACGGGUGUAUGUGGAGCUCUAUGCAGAUCCUCUUCAAGCGGUACGGCAGGGUACCACAGUACUUCGGCAGGUGGCCAUUUAUUAGAAUACUCGGUCUACAAGAACCUGCCUCCGUUGUUUUCUCCCUUUUCAACUUUGUGAGUCAUCUUUACAUGCUCAUCUGGUUCUUACGUACAGUUCCUAGCAAAGCCCCCAUGUACAGUGUUUGGAUUUUAUACUCCCUUGUCUCGAUGAAUGCUUGGAUUUGGUCUUCCGUAUUUCAUUCUCGUGAUACACCUCUUACAGAAAUGUUGGAUUAUUUCUGCGCAUUUUCUACAGUUCUCUGCUCCUUGUUGACAUUUUGUUUACGCAGUUUACAAUCCCGGCCUCAAUAUAUGCCGAGAUUGGUUAUUAUCUGUUCCUGCCUAUGUUUCUAUGUAUCCCACGUUGUUUCUAUGGCAACUGUUCGGUUUGACUAUGGCUACAAUAUGAAGGUUAACAUCACUGUUGGCGGAAUCAAUUGUGCUUGCUGGUUAGUUUGGUUUUUCCUCAACAGAUGGCAGGGGAAACAUAUUAAGCAGGGAGCUGCUGCUGUUCUAGCUGUAUCAGUGAGUGUACUCCUGGAACUGCUCGAGUUCCCGCCAAUUCUCUGGUCUAUUGACAGCCACGCUCUCUGGCAUCUCGUCACUGCUCCACUUCCAAUAUUCUGGUACAGGUUUGCUGCAGGAGAUUGUUUGCACCUCCUGGAUAAUCUCUCUAAACCCUCGUUUAAGAAGAAUAUAUAAAAUGUAUAGAAAAUAUCUUCAAGAAAACAUCAAGGAUAAUAUUAUUUAAUAUAUUGCUUUUACCAUUUUUUUUAUUGCUACAAUUAUUAACUAAACAGUUAUUUUUCUUAUUAUUAUGCGUUUAUCGUGAUGUUAAUGAUUUCCAUUCAAACUAAAUCAUGCUUAUACAA